rnacentral:lncRNA from 1 species
CUUGGAAAGGGUUUGGAACCAAGUAUUCUCUGGACUCAGGGACACCAGACAACUCUUGGGCCCGGACUGGGGGACAUCUCAGAAAUGAGGUUUCAGUGAAAGCCUGCACACCAACAAUAAGAAUCCCAGACCCUUCUCCAGUUGGCUCCCAGGAUACUGGUAGAGAAGUUUAUAUUUUGCAGGCAGAAGAUGGAAGGUUUUCUCUCCAAGGGAAAUGAUGAGCCCAAGAAGAAAAAGACACUGGAGGGAAGCUGCAACAUGAAAAACUGUCAAGGAAUAGCAGCACACUCACAACAAACACCCUUCGAAGAAAACCCAGGAAGACCCAUGCAAUAGAUUCCUGGGACUCAACUUAGAAGGCAUGGUGGUACUCUUCACUAUUUGUCUGCAGUGAUUUGUGGAAUAAAUCUCUCACUUUUCCUAACCCUACUUUCUUUUGUUAUUAAAA